AAUCGGGCGGUAAAUUCCGUCCAAGGCUAAAUACGGGCGAGAGACCGAUAGCGAACAAGUACCGCGAGGGAAAGAUGAAAAGGACUUUGAAAAGAGAGU
rnacentral:rRNA from 1 species